UUCAAUGGGCGGGCCGUGGCAAGGAGACUUUCGAGUCUGCCGGUUAUGGGUUCUACGCCGGGCUGCCAACCUUGUCACUGUGCCCGCUCACCCCU
rnacentral:antisense_RNA from 1 species